ensembl:lncRNA
AAAUUGUAACUGUAUUUUCAUGGGUUUUACAGCUUUUCCUACUAAAGAUAAGGAUAAAGACAUCCCCGGUGACGUCCAUAUGACACCAAAGUAAUUAAAUAAAUGAUAAAUAAUGACAGAAGUGUUAUUGUUUUUUCACUAUGUACCAGCAAAGGCACAUACAGCCCACUUUGAUCUUAAGUGGGCCAGACUAGUGAAAGCCUCCUUUACCUCAUAUCUUAAUAUAGGAAAAAGAAUUACAAGUUCAAACAUGCAUCUCACUUUUUCUACACAUUUAAUCCCCGAGUUUAAACGUGUAGAAAACAAGUACUGCUGUAAUAAAUCAAGGAAAUGUGUCAGCACAGCUCCUCACACUUAAAUCAUAAGAAAUAAAUGUACAAAAUUCAAGAAAAAGUUCUGGCAGCUCUGUAUACCUAUUACUUCAUUACUUUAUUUUAGUAAGAAUGGCUAUGAGAGAUGUAUUUAUCAGCAGGAAAAGUGAUGAAAAUACAGUUAAAAGUCAAAAAUGUAUGCUCUGCUGUUGAAAUUGCACUUCUUUGUCUUAUAUUUAAAUAUCUCAGGGAUUAAAUGUGUAAUCAAAGGUCUUUACACUGACUGAAAGGGGUGUAUCAGUGGUUCGGCCCACUUAAGAUCAAAGUGAGCUGUAUGUGACCAUCAAUGUAAAACGAUUUAAGGACCUAUGGAUGUCAUGAAAACACUAAAUUAUGGAACAUCUUUUGGAAGAAUUGUGUUUCACUUCUUAGGAGCAUCAAUGCCAAUGUGCAUCAAAGCUGAAACAACUUACUAAAGGCACUUUAUCACGGUUUUUCCUUUCAUUUGCCGCGCGCCUUAUAUACAAGCAAAGGGCUGGAGGAUGUUUGCGGAUCUUAUUUAACUAUUUGAAUGCAUUGGCUGAAAUCCCUACACAGACUCCUCAUUCUAGACUGUGUAAUUAUACAUUUGCAGUGAGUGUAGGCUUUGAUAUCAUGUGUUGCGUGACUCCUUCACUGGUCAGGUGUGCUGUAUUUAUCCAAGUCAGAGCCUAAACAGAAAUGUUUGUAUCGCUGUGUAAGCAAGUUAAAGAGGCAGAAACAGGUCAAGUGCGCGUAUAGAAACACACUACCUUUAAGAAAAAUAGACAUUUUAUAGACACUUGACAUCACCUUUUGCCUUUUUCAUACUUCCAUGUGACUUGCUUCAGUAAAG